UUACAGGGGGAGGGGGUAAAAAGUAGUGCACUAGUUUACAGGGGGGGGUAAAAAGUAGUGCACUAGUUUACAGGGGAGGGGUAUAAAGUAGUGCACUAGUUUACAGGGGAGGGGGUAUAAAGUAGUGCACUAGUUUACAGGGGAGGGGGUAUAAAGUAGUGCACUAGUUUACAGGGGGAGGGGGUAUAAAGUAGUGCACUAGUUUACAGGGGGAGGGGGUAUAAAGUAGUGCACUAGUUUACAGGGGGGGGGGUAUAAAGUAGUGCACUAGUUUACAGGGGGGAGGGGUCAAACGUAGUGCACUAGUUUACAGGGGGAGGGGGUAAAAAGUAGUGCACUAGUUUACAGGGGGGGGGAAUAAAAAGUAGUGCACUAGUUUACAGGGGGAGGGUAUAAAGUAGUGCACUAGUUUACAGGGGGAGGGGUAUACAGUAGUGCACUAGUUUACGGGGGGAGGGGGUAAAAAGUAGUGCACUAGUUUACAGGGGGAGGGGGUAUAAAGUAGUGCACUAGUUUACAGGGGGAGGGGUAUACAGUAGUGCACUAGUUUACAGGGGGAGGGGGUAAAAAGUAGUGCACUAGUUCACAGGGGGGGGUAUAAAGUAGUGCACUAGUUCACAGGGGGAGGGGUAUAAAGUAGUGCACUAGUUCACAGGGGGAGGGGUAUAAACUAGUGCACUAUAUAGGUAAUAGUGUGAAAAUUCAGACAAAACCUUUAUCACGUCCAGUUUUCUUUUUCUGAUUCACAACACGUUAUUUCUCCUGAUUUACAAUUCAACUCGGUACUGUACAGGUCACAUGAUACACGACUACACAAUGACAUAGUCCACAUCUAAUGACAUGAUACCGUAUUGACUACGCGAUGACAUAGUCCACAUCUAAUGACACACGACUACACAAUGACAUAGUCCACAUCUAAUGACAUGAUACACGACUACACGAUGACAUAGUCCACAUCUAAUGACACACGACUACACAAUGACAUAGUCCACAUCUAAUGACAUGAUACACGACUACACGAUGACAUAGUCCACAUCUAAUGACACACGACGACACAAUGACAUAGUCCACAUCUAAUGACAUGAUACACGACUACACGAUGACAUAGUCCACAUCUAAUGACACACGACUACACAAUGACAUAGUCCACAUCUAAUGACAUGAUACACGACUACACGAUGACAUAGUCCACAUCUAAUGACACACGACUACACAAUGACAUAGUCCACAUAAUGACAUGAUACACGACUACACGAUGACAUAGUCCACAUCUAAUGACCGGACAUACUGUGCAAUGAACCAGGCGACAAGAACACUAGUCCUGAUACGGCUGUAUAAACUCCGGUAUAACCUGGUAUUAUUAUGGUAUCUUAUGGCAUUAGGCGUAUACUCUACGCCAUAACAAUGCAGGCUACAGUCAUAUCAGGGCUACAAGAAAAGGUGUUUGGAUGUAACAAAGUCCAGGAAUCCCUAGGUAGAGUGUGUCCUAAGCACUCAACAGCACACACUGUCUGAGGGCAAAGACGGCUGAGAUGACAUCAUUCCAACCAGAAAUCAGGUUUGUAACAUUGUCAUUCCAACCAGGUUUGUCAUUCCAACCAGGUUUGUCAUUCCAACCAGGUUUGUCAUUCCAACCAGGUUUGUCAUUCCAACCAGGUUUGUCAUUCCAACCAGGUUUGUCAUUCCAACCAGGUUUGUCAUUCCAACCAGGAUUGUCAUUCCAACCAGGAUUGUCAUUCCAACCAGGAUUGUCAUUCCAAUCAGGUUUGUCAUUCCAACCAGGAUUGUCAUUCCAACCAGGAUUGUCAUUCCAACCAGGAUUGUCAUUCCAACCAGGAUUGUCAUUCCAACCAGGAUUGUCAUUCCAACCAGGAUUGUCAUUCCAACCAGGAUUGUGCAAGCUGGAUGUGCAGUUCAUAACUUUCAACCAACCCCCUUCCUCUCGCCAUCAAAUAUCACAUUACAUCUAUCGUUCCUCUAUCGUUCCUCUGUCUUCCCUCUAUCUUAUCUGAAUCUUCUACCUUCCCUCUAUCUUAUCUAUAUAUUCUAUCUUCCCUCUACCUUCCCUCUAUCUUAUCUUCCCUUCCCUCUAUCUUAUCUUCCCUUCCCUCUAUCUUAUCUUCCCUUCCUUCUAUCUUAUCUUCCCUUCCUUCUAUCUUAUCUUCCCUUCCCUCUAUCUUCUAUCUUCCCUUCCCUCUAUCUUAUCUGAAUCUUCUACCUUCCCUCUAUCUUCCCUCUAUCUUAUCUUCCCUUCCCUCUAUCUUAUCUUCCCUUCCCUCUAUCUUAUCUUCCCUUCCCUCUAUCUUAUCUUCCCUUCCCUCUAUCUUAUCUUCCCUUCCCUCUAUCUUAUCUGAAUAUUCUACCUUCCCUCUAUCUUAUCUUCCCUUUCUUCUAUCUUCCCUUCCUUCUAUCUUAUCUCUAUCUUCCCUCUAUCUUCCUUCUAUCUUCCCUCUAUCUUAUCUCUAUCUUAUCUGUAUCUUCCCUCUAUCUUCCCUCUACC